GAGUGUACCUGCGAGAUAGAAGGUGAUGUGUCCUGAGACUCUGUGAUACCUGCAUCACAGGUGCGUGUUUGCCUACAGCAUUAGGAUACAUGCAGGAUGUAUCAUAUGUAUCCCAAGAGCAACAGCGACCGAAAUUUCUUCUUGGCUGUAGAGGAAGCACAAGGAGAUUAAGCUUGCUGGGCUAAAGAAAGUGAAUCCACUGCUGUGAGUACAGAAUCUCAGAACUGGAGGGGAUGGAAGGGACCUCUGGAGAUCAUCCAGUCCAAAAGCUCCAUUAACAGACGCCCGCCCCUCCCUUGAGGAUUUAAGAAGAAAGGAAGGGAGGCAAGGCAAGCUUUCCACCCCGCGGCAGAACCAAGCAUGCCUGCACCAAGCAGGGAGCUGUGUUGUGCUGAGGACUCUCUGUGGGUUUAAUGGAUUUCAGUUGCAUGCCAUGACAGAUUAUGCUGUGGAUUAUCUUCAGAUACAUGUAGGAGAGGUAUUUCAAGGUAUUUUACCUUUUAAUCCAUAUUUAGCAAAAGCCUUUCAACAAAACUUUGUGGUACAACCAAAUACCUUUAUCAUUUUAGACCCAAACACUACACUGGGCUACAAAUAGACCAACACUGUAGUUGAGAGCCCGGUUGUUAUGUGUGGUACCGAUUUUUUCCUGCAAGUUACUGCCCUGAAUUGUCAAUGGACUUCAAAAAGGAACUGUAAGCAAAAUAUUCAAGCAAUGAGAAAUAAAAUAAUGGCCUCUGGAUAAAACCCACUUCAUUCUACUAUAAUUGUAUAAUCUCAUACAAUAUGAGGCUUACUAAAGAAAAGAAUAAGGGACACACUUUACCUUUGUGAAAGUUCUCCCCAUCAGAUAUCUGAAGGAAGGAAGUUAAUAUUCUAAAACCAGGAGUAAUUGGUAUACAAUAAAAGAAAAUCAGUAUCUGUUGCUGCAUGACUUCUAUUGAAUUCACCGUGGUACAUCCUCAAGCUCCUUUAGACAGUUACUGAGCUUGCUUUACCCAUCCAGCUGCCAAGGUCUUCUAUCCCUUAGUAAUUCAAAAUGUUCUUAGUUCUGAAAUGGCUCCAUCACUGCUUUUAGUUUGGCCUUGUCUCUUACUGAGUUGUGCUUAAAUCAUGGUUGCAUAAUUGGUUUCACUACAGAACAUAAAAAACAGACUAUCGGGAAAAACAAAUGAGUCCAUCCAUUAUAGCAGGUACAGUCUGCUAAUGAAAUUACGGACCAGAAGCUCGUGUCCUUGUAGUUUGCUUUAGUCAGGUUCAUUAAAGCGUAGGGCAUGAAUUCAGAUUUUUAUUCAGCUGAAUCUGAAGCUUUGAACAAAUGACUUCCCAAACUAAUUCUUCUGACUGCAAAAAAUGAAAGGCCAUUUGAAAAGCAUUUGGAAAACAAUGUAUAUUUUAAUUAUAUCAAACUAGGAAGUCAAUAUUUAGUAUUCUAAGCUUAAGAGGACAAAUAUUGGGCUUUCUCUAUAAAGGAUUAAACAUUCAGUGAAAUUAAAUCAGCUCAAAAACUUGAAGUUUCUGAAGGCUUAGAUAUUUCCUUUAUGUUUACAG
ensembl:lncRNA